GAUCUAUCGCUCAGUGUGUGCGUCCUGUUCAGCGAUGCUGCAGUCAUAUCCUCCACGCAGCAUCCAUAGGCCAGUGCGAAGCACUUCCAGUUUCCAGAAUGAAGGCAUCUACAUCUGGGAAUCCUCAGCCUUGAGCCUGUAGUUCCUCUGUAGCUGUUCCAAUGGUAGACGUGGCGGUGAGACUACAACAUGAUCCAGCCUGGGAAGACUCAGCCUGAUGAGCAUCCUUGAACUCAAUGGCUCCCAGGGAGACUAAGUUCAGCAUCAUUCAGGAAGCAGCCCUUUCUCUAUGCUGGCUGCUCCCUCAGUCCUGAACACUCAAGGCUUUCUUCUCCCUGGACUCCACAGGCACAGCCAACAUGUAUUUAUACAUUCAGAAAACGAUCUUGUCUUACCAAGUUGAUCCUUAGAGACGGUUCAAGGGGAAAUUUUGUUCUAUGUGCUUUUGAAGCUAAAGAUGUCAUAGCACAAAACUCACUGAUUUGCAUGCUUUACAGGGAUGGGUUCUGUAUAAGUGGGUUGUAUCUCAAUAAAGCUGAUUUUUAAACAAGAGGUAAUGCAUGCAGAAUA